AAACUGAAGAGUUUGAUCCUGGCUCAGAUUGAACGCUGGCGGUAUGCUUAACACAUGCAAGUCGAACGGAAACGAUACUAGCUUGCUAGUAGGCGUCGAGUGGCGGACGGGUGAGUAACGCGUAGGAAUCUGCCUGAUAGUGGGGGAUAGCCCGGAGAAAUUCGGAUUAAUACCGCAUAAUCUAUUCGUAGUAAAGUGGGGGACUUUCGAGCCUCACGCUAUCAGAUGAGCCUGCGUAAGAUUAGCUUGUUGGUAGGGUAAAAGCCUACCAAGGCGACGAUCUUUAGCUGGUCUGAGAGGAUGAUCAGCCACAUCGGGACUGAGACACGGCCCGAACUCCUACGGGAGGCAGCAGUGGGGAAUAUUGGACAAUGGGGGCAACCCUGAUCCAGCAAUACCGCGUGUGUGAAGAAGGCCUGAGGGUUGUAAAGCACUUUCAAUUGUGAAGAAAAGUUAGCGGUUAAUAACCGUUAGCCUUGACGUUAACUUUAGAAGAAGCACCGGCUAACUCCGUGCCAGCAGCCGCGGUAAUACGGAGGGUGCAAGCGUUAAUCGGAAUUACUGGGCGUAAAGCGUGCGUAGGUGGUUUAUUAAGUCAGAUGUGAAAGCCCCGGGCUUAACCUGGGAACUGCAUUUGAAACUGGUCAACUAGAGUAUGGUAGAGGAAAGUGGAAUUUCUGGUGUAGCGGUGAAAUGCGUAGAUAUCAGAAGGAACAUCAAUGGCGAAGGCAGCUUUCUGGCCCAAUACUGACGCUGAGGUACGAAAGCGUGGGUAGCAAACAGGAUUAGAUACCCUGGUAGUCCACGCCGUAAACGAUGAUAACUAGCCGUUGGGGGGAUUUACCCUUUAGUGGCGAAGCUAACGCGUUAAGUUAUCCGCCUGGGGAGUACGGCCGCAAGGUUAAAACUCAAAGGAAUUGACGGGGACCCGCACAAGCGGUGGAGCAUGUGGUUUAAUUCGAUGCAACGCGAAGAACCUUACCUGGUCUUGACAUCCUGCGAACUUUCUAGAAAUAGAUUGGUGCCUUCGGGAACGCAGUGACAGGUGCUGCAUGGCUGUCGUCAGCUCGUGUCGUGAGAUGUUGGGUUAAGUCCCGUAACGAGCGCAACCCCUAUCCUUAUUUGCCAGCACAUCAUGGUGGGAACUAUAAGGAGACUGCCGGUGAUAAACCGGAGGAAGGCGGGGACGACGUCAAGUCAUCAUGGCCCUUACGACCAGGGCUACACACGUGCUACAAUGGGAAGGACAAAGAGCCGCGAAGCCGCGAGGUGUAGCUAAUCUCAUAAACCUUUUCGUAGUCCGGAUUGGAGUCUGCAACUCGACUCCAUGAAGUCGGAAUCGCUAGUAAUCGUAGAUCAGAAUGCUACGGUGAAUACGUUCCCGGGUCUUGUACACACCGCCCGUCAUACCAUGGGAGUGGGUUGCACCAGAAGUGGCUAGUCUAACUUAGUGAGGACGGUCACCACGGUGUGAUUCAUGACUGGGGUAAAGUCGUAACAAGGUAGCCCUACCGGAAGGUGGGGCUGGAUCACCUCCUUA
rnacentral:rRNA from 1 species